rnacentral:rRNA from 1 species
GACGAACGCUGGCGGCGUGCCUAAUACAUGCAAGUCGAGCGGACGAAUCGAAAGCUUGCUUUUGAUUCGUUAGCGGCGGACGGGUGAGUAACACGUGGGCAACCUGCCCUGUAGACGGGGAUAACACCGAGAAAUCGGUGCUAAUACCGGAUAACACGAAAUGUCGCAUGACGUUUCGUUGAAAGACGGCGCAAGCUGUCGCUACAGGAUGGGCCCGCGGCGCAUUAGCUAGUUGGUGAGGUAACGGCUCACCAAGGCGACGAUGCGUAGCCGACCUGAGAGGGUGAUCGGCCAAACUGGGACUGAGACACGGCCCAGACUCCUACGGGAGGCAGCAGUAGGGAAUCUUCCGCAAUGGACGAAAGUCUGACGGAGCAACGCCGCGUGAGCGAAGAAGGCCUUCGGGUCGUAAAGCUCUGUUGUUAGGGAAGAACAAGUAACGCAGUAACUGGCGUUACCGUGACGGUACCUAACGAGAAAGCCACGGCUAACUACGUGCCAGCCGCCGCAGUAAGAC